rnacentral:tRNA from 1 species
GCGGGUGUGGUGGAAAUUGGCAGACACGCUAGACUUAGGAUCUAGUGUCUUCGGACGUAAGGGUUCAAGUCCCUUCACCCGCACCA